rnacentral:lncRNA from 1 species
AUUUAUCUGCUUCCGAUUUUAACUACAAUACAGAAUCUUAUUUUGAGUCCAAUAAAUCAAAUUUAUGCCUAUUGUAUAUGUGUUUAGAGAUUUCCAUAUUCUACGUAAUACAAAAUAGUUUAACCUAUUUCUCUCCUUUUGUUUUGUUUGACUAUUAAUAUUUUUUUAAGAAAAUAUAUCUUCUGUAUAAUUACUAAGAAUAAGUUUUUUAAACUGAAUAGUUUGUAAUAAUGGUAAAUGGUAAGUUUUUUUUUUCUAUUUCCUUCUACGCCAUAUAACUACUACUUGUGAGUAAGGAAAAAACAUAGAUCAAAGAGUAAACAUAGAGAUUUUCUUAUUAGUCUUCACAAUCACUUAAAACAAUAAUAAAAACUUAUAUUACUCUUUUAUCUUAGACUUUUUGUUAUCUUGUUUAAUAGGAAGACAAUGAAAAUAGAACAAAAAGAGAAAGACUCAUUAGCAUAAACGCUCUAAGUAUUGCUACAAAAUUACGUAAAGGACUUUACAUAACCAAAUAUAAACAGAGUAGGUACAUCAGAUUUCAAAGACAAGAACUAACAAAAGCAACGAGAUGGUUCUGCAAAGUGACAAUGCUAACACAGGAACCAAACUUGGUCUCGCCGGUCUUGGCUACUCUUUGAUGGAUAUGUAACAUCCCGAUUUUUGGGGAUGCAAUCAUUAAAAGAAAUAAACCUGGUAAGUUGUCUGAAGCUAAUAUGGAGGAUUCUCUCUUCUAAUUUGGUAUGGGUUAAUUGGAUAAAUAUAUACCUUAUUAGAAAAGGUUCACUAUGGACGGGUAAGGAGAACAUUCAAUUAGGUUCUUGGAUGUGGAAAAAAAUUCUCAUGUGUAGAGAUAUUGGUAAGAGCUUGUACCGAGUAGAUAUAAGAAAUGGUAGGAAAACAUCUUUCUUGCAUGAAGCUUGGUCGCCACUGGGUUGUCUUCAGGAUAUGCUGAGGGAAGGAAACUAUAUUGAUAUGGGAAUUCCUAUAAAUGCAACCGUUGAUGUGAGUAGGAAGCAAAGAAGACAGCAUCAUCGAAUUCAUAUCUUGAAUAAUGUAGAAGAUGAGAUUGCGAGGUAUAAGGCAAACUUUGUUAAUGAAGAAGAUGUUUCCUUAUGGAAGAAUGGGACAUGACAAUACAAAAUGAACUUCUCAACGAGUGAAACAUGGAAGGUGAUUAGAAAAGAGUAUAUUGCUUGAAAUUGGUACAAAGAGAUUUGGUUCAAGUAUGUCACAUCGAAGCACUCUUUCAUUACUUGGGUUGCAAUGAAGGGGAGGCCUGCAACAGGAGAUCGCAUGAGGCAUUGGAGUGGGUUGGUGGACAGAUCUUGUGUCUUAUGCAAUGAUCCUUUGGAAACAAUGGAGCAUUUAUUUUUUGAGUGUGAGUAUUCUGCUCAAAUUUGGAAACAGAUGAUGGAAGGGGUGUUGCUACACAAGUAUACAAAUCAAUGGGAGAGGAUAAUGAGGAUCAUGAUAAGGCCGCAGGGGAGUAAAGUGAAGUCUUUUGUUAUUAAGUACAUGUUUCAACUUGCUAUUCACACAAUCUGGAGGGAAAGAAAUCGAAGGCGGCAUGGGGAGAGCCCCUCUCCUGUGAAUAUUUUGGCAAGUUUGAUAGACAAGGGGAUGAGAAACAAGCUCACUAUCAUUCAGAGGAGAAAGGAUAAAGAUUUGGAGGGAGGGAUGAUCUAUUGGUUUAGUACCAGAAUUUGAAGUUUGUUUUUUUAUCAUUGGUUUUGAGCGUUUCGAUUUACUUUGGGAGUUAGUAAUAGUAGAAGGAGAUAGGGUUUUCAUUUAGACAGGUAACACUUGAUGUAACAAGGUUAUUUCUUCUUUGAAUUCAGUUUAACAUUCAAUUCAAAAAAAAAUUAAAAUAGAUAUUUCGAACAACAAAUACUAUUAUCAGAAUUUUUUAAUUUACCAAUAAACAAUGAUAUCAUUAAAAAAAUUUAUAGUCAUAUUGUUUGUUGUUUUUGAUUAAAAUAAGAAUGAUAUAAUGGUACAUGAUUUAUUUAUAAAAUCAUUUAGAAAUAAAACAUACCUUGAGGGAGAGCCCCUCUCCUGUGAAUAUUUUGGCAAGUUUGAUAGACAAGGGGAUGAGAAACAAGCUCACUAUCAUUCAGAGGAGAAAGGAUAAAGAUUUGGAGGGAGGGAUGAUCUAUUGGCUUAGUACCAGAAUUUGAAGUUUGUUUUUUUUAUCAUUGGUUUUGAGCUUUUCUAUUUUACUUUGGGAGUUAGUUAUAGUAGAAGGAGAUAGGGUUUUCAUUUUUUUUUUUUUGUCACCUGUCACAUUGCCUCGCCACGCAAGACACUUAGUUUCAAGAGCUUAGCAGAAUGUAAUGCUGGGUGCAAGGCAUAAGUUAACUCGAGGCGUGCAAAUAGCACUGAAUAAACGUUUUAUUUAACACGUAAUUUAUCUGCUUCCGAUUUUAACUACAAUACAGAAUCUUAUUUUGAGUCCAAUAAAUCAAAUUUAUGCCUAUUGUAUAUGUGUUUAGAGAUUUCCAUAUUCUACGUAAUACAAAAUAGUUUAACCUAUUUCUCUCCUUUUGUUUUGUUUGACUAUUAAUAUUUUUUUAAGAAAAUAUAUCUUCUGUAUAAUUACUAAGAAUAAGUUUUUUAAACUGAAUAGUUUGUAAUAAUGGUAAAUGGUAAGUUUUUUUU